rnacentral:tmRNA from 1 species
GGGGCUGACCGGUUUUGACAGCGGGUAGAAGUGGUUUGUAAGCAUGCAGUGCGUCGUUGACCGGCACUAUAAUCUCGGCUGACAAAAGCUAACUGGCGAAAAUACUUACGCUCUCGCUGCGUGAUCGAAGUACAGUAGAUCAACGCUUCAUCCUUACACAAGGUGUUUGGACGGGAUAUCACCCGGAAGCUCUGGCUCCGAAGCAGUCCGAAAUGGUGGUACGGCAAUAUCGGAGAUAGCUUGAAGGAAGUCCCGUACUUCAAGUGAAAAUCAGGGAAUAAGUUUGAUGUUGGUGGCUUCGGUCUUGCAUCAAGUCGAAAAUGAAAGCGAAGAUAAGCAUGUAGAAAGCAGAUUAAUUCCUCGUUUGGACGAGAGUUCGAAUCUCUCCAGCUCCACAG